rnacentral:rRNA from 1 species
AGCGAACGCUGGCGGCAGGCCUAACACAUGCAAGUCGAGCGCCGUAGCAAUACGGAGCGGCAGACGGGAGAGUAACACGUGGGAACGUACCCUUUGGUUCGGAACAACCCAGGGAAACUUGGGCUAAUACCGGAUAAGCCCUCACGGGGAAAGAUUCAUCGCCGAAGGAACGGCCCGCGUCUGAUUAGCUAGUUGGUGGGGUAAUGGCCCACCAAGGCGACGAUCAGUAGCUGGUCUGAGAGGAUGAUCAGCCUCACUGGGACUGAGACACGGCCCAGACUCCUACGGGAGGCAGCAGUGGAGAAUAUUGGACAAUGGGCGCAAGCCUGAUCCAGCCAUGCCGCGUGGGUGAUGAAGGCCCUAGGGUUGUAAAGCCCUUUCGGCGGGGAAGAUAAUGACGGUACCCGCAGAAGAAGCCCCGGCUAACUUCGUGCCAGCAGCCGCAGUAAGAC